rnacentral:lncRNA from 1 species
CCUGAACUCUACAGGCUCCUAAAUAAAGAACCUAAAAUUCUGAAUAAAAGAAGUAGAGUUGGAGCCCAGAGAGAGAGUGAGCUCAGAACGCAAGCCUGACAGCAAGAUAAACACAUUCCUCAAAUGAGACUGCUAGCCAGUAUUUGGGCUAUAAAGCAUGGCCAAUUUGCUUUCUCAGGAUGGAGAAUAUAAUCCCCAGAAGCAUUAUCAAGGGCACUUUUGAGUGCCUGAUUCCAUGUCUUUGAACAAACAAAGUCUUAACUACAGUUCCUCUCUCAAGAGCAAAACUUGAAAUUUGUCGAGAAAUAAUGGACUUUCGCUCUUGUUGCCCAAGCUGGAGUGCAAUGGCGUGAUCUCGGCUCACCACAACUUCUGCCUCCCAGGUUCAAGUGAUUCUCCUGCCUCAGCCUCCCGAGUAGCUGAGAUUACAGGCAUGUGCCACCACGCCCGGCUAAUUUUUUGUAUUUUUAGUAGAGACAGGGUUUCUCCAUGUUGGUCAGCUUGGUCUUGAACUCCUGACCUCAGGUGAUCCACCUGCCUCCGGCUCCCAAAGUGCUGGGAUUACAGGCAUGAGCCACCAUGCCCGGCCCUUAUAGUUCAUAAUUCUAUAGUUUGGCAAUUAGAGCUGCCCAUAGCUGGGUGGUCCCUCUGGUCUGGGGCAGGCUUGGUUGAUCUUGACUGAAGCUUAUUCAUCUGAAUUUAUCAA